rnacentral:rRNA from 1 species
ACUUCCUACGGGGGGCGGCAGUGAGGAAUAUUGGUCAAUGGUCGGGAGACUGAACCAACCAAGCCGCGUGAGGGAGGAAGGUACAGAGUAUCGUAAACCUCUUUUGUCAGGGAACAAAGACUGGGACGCGUCCCCGGAUGAGUGUACCUGAAGAAAAAGCAUCGGCUAACUCCGUGCCAGCAGCCGCGGUAAUACGGAGGAUGCGAGCGUUAUCCGGAUUUAUUGGGUUUAAAGGGUGCGUAGGCGGACUGGUAAGUCAGCGGUAAAAUCGAGAGGCUCAACCUCUUUCCGCCGUUGAAACUGUG